AUUGAACGCUAGCGGGAUGCCUUACACAUGCAAGUCGAACGGAGUGGCGAACGGGUGAGUAAUGUAUCGGAACGUGCCACGUAGCGGGGGAUAACUACGCGAAAGCGUAGCUAAUACUGCAUACUAUUGGAGCGGCCGAUAUCGGAUUAGCUAGUUGGUGGGGUAACGGCUCACCAAGGCGCCGAUCCGUAGCCGGUUUGAGAGGAGGACGCGCCAAGCUGGGACUGGGACACGGUCCAGACUCCUACGGGAGGCAGCAGUGGGGAAUUUUGGACAAUGGGCGAAACCCUGAUCCAGCCAUACCGCGUGUGCGAUGAAGGCCUUCGGGUUGUAAAGCACUUUUGGCAGGAAAGCGGUACCUGCAGAAUAAGCACCGGCUAACUCCGUGCCAGCAGCCGCGGUAAUAC
rnacentral:rRNA from 1 species